CCGGAGUCAGCCACCAACUCGGAGCCCUCAUAAAAUCGCACCCUGCAGACAACACAGCCAGAGUGAGGUUCCAUGAAAUGCAAACCAAGGCCUAGCGUGAUGAUGGGCACAGAAUCCAACUCCACGGGUAAAUGCUGAUGAAUUAAAGAGAAAUCGCAACGGGACCCAGGACCUGGGUUUUGUGACUUCCCUGUCCGGUCCCUGGAUGAGGCCACCAGAUGGGGCUUAGAGACCAUUUCCCACAUCUUCAACCUGUUGGAACAAGUAGGUCAUUUCUUGCUCAAGGUGAUAACGGUCAAUGUCUGUGAUGUGUGACCAGGUCCUCCUAACCAUCCUGGUGCAAUGGUGACCCCCGACUGAGAGAACGUGGGAGGGGAACACAGGGACAGCGCAGCCAUCUGCUUGCCCUGAGUCCUGGCGUAGCCACACACUGGUAUGUGGCCCCAGAUGUGACACCUGACCCCCCUACAGCUCUGCGUCCUCAUCUAUACAAUGGGAACAAGAACAGCCUACCUCGGGUAUUCUCGUUGUGGCUCAGCGGAUUACAAACCCAACUAGUACACAUGAG